rnacentral:lncRNA from 1 species
AAUUAGCCCUGGCAAAUUCUCCCGGAGGACUCAUGACUCAAAGUAGACCAGUAAUAGAAGGCAAGUGUUCUCAAGAAAACAGAGCAUGUGAACUUGGAAGGAGUCGCGUAAGGGAGUGGGGCGAACAACCCCAAAAGGCUCAAGGCCAUGUCCCCUGGCUAAAUUAUCCGUGAACUCUUACAAGCUCACCCUAAUACUCGGUAGCUUGGGCUGCACAAGAAGAAUACACACUUGGGUCCAGUGGAGAUGAAUUGGCUACUUUACGGCGGUCACACAUUCAUGCAAUCUGCAUUAUCCUGCACUCCUCCGUUCUAUCUCAACCC